GAGCAUCACAUUCAACCAUCAGAUCUCAAAAGCCCAUUUCUUUCCCAAAGAUGACUGCCUGUAGACAUACCUUUGCUUCUGCAGUAGUCGAAUCCUUUGUCUUUCCUAAAGGGUAAGAGCAUGCUCCCAUAACAAAGCCUUCAUGAUUUCUUAAGAUAACCCCUGCAAUUGCUAUCGAGUUUUGUUGUGAAUAUGCAGCAUCAAAAUUGGCAUUGAUCUGUCCUCCUAUGGGGGGUAUCCAAAACAUCUCUCUUGGAAUGAUUCUAGUUUCUGUUAAUGACUGAACUUGCUCUAAUUCCUUAAAAUAAGGUAAAAUAAAACCGGCAACCUCUUGUACCCUUUCCUUCUUACCUUCGUGAUAAAUUAUAUUUCUGUUGUACCAUAUUGCCCAAAUAGUUAUUGCCAUGACUGUGCAUGUUUUAGUGUUAUUCAUUUGGAAGAAACUUGCUAACCAUUGUUUCCAUACUUGUCUUGUGUUUGAUUGCGAGGAAUCCAUCCCAACUUCCUAUAGAAUCUAUUUUAUGAAUCCACAAUCUCGAAAAAUGUGCUCCACUGUUUCUUCUCCAAAUAAACAAACUAGACAUUCAGCAUUGUUCCUGAGUCUUCGAAAUUUGAGAAUACUGAGUGUUGGAAUAAAAUUAUUGACCACCCUCCACAGAUGUAUUCUUAUUUUACUUAAGAUCGGGAGAUUCCAGAUCUUUGAAUAAAAUUCUUUAGUGAUAGUUUGGUCUGUAAUAUAAUUAUGUAGGUGUGGAUUCUUAGAUAUUAGCCAUUUGUAAGCACUUUGUUCUGUAUAUUCGCCUGAUUUGUCCCCUCUCUAGACUAGAACAUCCGGCUGUAUCCUAUUCACUAAGGGAAUCGACAAUACUACCUCUGUUUGCUCUACUUCGA
rnacentral:lncRNA from 1 species